CUUUUUAGUUCUUCCAGUUUGAAAUACCAGUUUUGCUCCACCCAUAACAUAGUGCCUUGUGAGCACAGCUCCAACAGUGACAUAUGUACACCUCUGUUCUGAAAAAGGCUCUUCCUGAAGGGAAAGGCUUUGAGGAUGCAGCCAGAAGCUGUAAGAAAGGAAAUCUCGUCAGGUGACAGGGCUCAGUGUUUCAUGAGUCUCAGAAGGGUCAUUGGAACCAGCAGAGUUCAGAUGGACUCAACCAGGCUCAGCCAAGGGUCUCCUUCUGAGCCCAAGGAGCAGGAGCUGCCACCUUGCACUGCAUGCCCUAAGACUGACCUUCCUUUGCAGAGCCAAACAUUUCUCCUGAGCACUUGGGAAAGCUGGGUCAUGCUUCCUCUCACUGAGGCACAAUCUCAUUUUUUGGAGGCUGAGGUGGAACCAGAGGCACUGGGGUGAGUAGAGCAUUGCUUGCGGAGGUCAGAGCCCACCCCUCUGUGCUCAUCAGGGGCAGAUCCCUCAUGGGCUCCUGCUGUGCAUCUCCCAAAGGGUUUUGUCACCUUGCUCCUGAAAGGAAGAACCACAUGGUGACAACCGUAAGGAAUGGAAAGUUGCGCCUCAGUUCUGUACUUCAAGUGGGAAGAUAGAGAGAUGGACAGCAGGCAAUACACAGCUUCUUUCCCUUUUGCCCAGGAAGAGUAAAGAAAAGGGAAAAUCCACAGCUCCUUCUUUAGCAGCUGGAUGCCUUUGAUGCAUGCUCACCCUCCUGAAGGUUGUUCCUCUGGCAGGAAGCACAGGCACUGCCUCCAAUAGGCUGCCUGCAACUUAUCCCCCAGGAAGGGGCAAGUGUGUGAAAGGGAGACCAGGGAAGAGAGACUGAAGGAUGCAGAAGGCACAGAGGCCCCAGGAAGAACAGACAGGUGUGAUCAGGAUCGUGUCCCUGCUGUCACUUUGGAUAAGGACUAUCUAUUUCAAGUGGUUUUCUGCGAAGUCAACAGGGCUGAGUUUCUCUGAGAGGUCAUAAGAAUUAUCUGGAACUUCCAAGUGUGUCUAUUCAAACCUGCAUCCUCUAUCACAGCAUGGCCAGCUUUGUUACUUCAAGAUCCCAUCAGGUUUUCAGUGGAAAAGGAGUGGAGUAUCCACACAUUUGUUACCAGUUUCCAAUAAUUCCCCUGUGUUAAAUCUAGUGCACCCCCAGGCAGACACAGCUGCCAUCUCCAAAAGAGAACACCCCACUCAGCCCAAGGAGAUGAAAAGAAGAUCUUGUUGUUGUUAUUAUAUCCCAAGCAGAAGCUGACUCUGCAGCUUUCUCAGCUUGCCCUCUUCCAGUGAAGGCUCCUGAGUGCUGGUGGAAAGCCCCAUCUGAUCUGAGGACCAGAACCACUCUGUGCACGUGGCCCAGUGGGCACCAAGAGGUACAGCCCAGAAGGAGAACAGCUGGGGUUCUAGAGAUCCCCAUCUCCAGCUCAGGUGCUCCCUCAGCGGCUGAUCCCAUCCACCUGGAGUGACUGCUGUCCCUUUUUCCAGACAUGCUUGGCCAGCAGCUCUCACACACUGUCCUCUUCAGUGAUGCUUUGCUCCAGAGUUGGUGUACAACUCUGUGAGCACAAAGCCUGGCACGGAGGAGGCACCAUGGAGCUGGCUCCUUGGGGGCUCUCUCUGUGCUUUUCCAGUUUCUCCAUGAAGCCACCAUCAAGGACCCUUUGCUCUUGUGCUCUUCCAUCCCUUUGGGACUUCUGAAAGUCAGCUGCUCUUUUAAUUUAGACCUCAGCCCAGUAGGCCAGAAAUAAGCAAUAUUUCGAUUUCCAUAAAAGGCUCCUCCUCAGUAUAAGGGUAAUAAUAAUAAUAAUAAUAAUAAUAAUAAUAAUAAUAAUAAAACCAAACAAAACAAAAACCAGAAUUCGAAAACAAAAAUCCACAUUUGUUGCUGAUUCUGGGGUAAGGGUUUGAAGCCUAUUUCCUUAGGUCCUACAGAUAUUUGACAGUACUGAUUUAGACUUCUGGUCCACUUCACCCUGUUGGUAUAUAGUAAAUGGUGAGAUCUGACUACGUUUUCAGAUCUUUUAUUAUACCAAGUAGGGGUGUAAGUAAUUGAUCCUGUAAUUUGUCUGUGGGGCAGAGGAAGCAAGCUGCACAAAAAGAUUUCUUUCUCUUUUAUAUUUUCCAUUGGAUUUAUAUUUUCCAUUGUGUUUAAUAGAAAAUAUUAGAAACCAUACUAUACUCAGGAGAAAAUCCUUCCUGUGUUAUCUCCUUCUUUGGGGUGAGCAAACCUCUGACAGAUCUGUUUCAAGCAGAGCAUUGAGGUACUACUCUGGAAUUUGAUUUCUAUCUUCCUGAGAUCAGCUUUCUAAGAAGUCAAACGUGUGCCUCCGAUUUACUAAAGAGCAAUGCAAGUGAUGGAGAAGAUCCAAAGACAGCCAACAGCAUUAGGAAGACUUCCCUCAAACUGGUUGGGGUCUGGAUCAGACCCAAAGACAGUUGGUCUGAAGAAAAAGAAAAGAAGAGCAGAAUUUGAGUAUUCCUUAAAGUGUCAGAGACAUAAGCAGGGCUGCAUGUAAUAGAAAUAAGGAAAGGCUGACUGAUAGAGAUAGUGCAGUGGUUUCCUUACAAGCUUUUCUUUGUUCCUAUGAUUUAGAACAAGCCAAUUUCUGUCAGAUUAGCCAAGGACCCAUUUUCCUGUCAGGAGAAGCCAUGGUGAGCAUCAGUAAAGGCUGAAUAGACCACAGUGCAGAAGAACCCUGCUGGCUUGAGACCAUGCAUCUUAUGCUUAUGGGACUCCAUUUCAACAGGACACGAAGAUACAUCAAUGUGGUGCAAACAGGCAGGACCAAGGUCCACCUUCUGCUCUUCAAGCCAGGCACAUUUCUUAGCUUAGUGCCUUAGCCAAAGACAUGCCAGCUCCUCUGGAGAUAAACCAUCAUGUCGUGUAGACAAGCAGAGUGCUGUUGAUCUCUUGGCUGACCAAUCAGACUACUUCCUAUGGUGAUACAACUGUAAGCCAGACUGUGAGCCACCAACAGCUGAUAUAUGAAGGACCUGGGCAUUUGUUGAGCUGGAGCAGAAAAAUCCAUCUUUUGGCAGUGGAGAGAAGGUAUUUCCUAUUUAAUGUGGUGAUUAUUAAAAUGCAAAACUUAGGUUCCAAUACAACUACUAUGGUUUCAAUGGAUAACUCCUAAUAUUUCAAAACUGGUAAGUCUGAGCUAAAGAUGUAUAUCUUGUUUUGGAACAUGAAAGAAGAGUACAAGUCUGAGAGUGCAUGUUGCUGUAUUUUGGGGUAAUCAUGCCAAAUAACUGCAUUGACUAAAGCAAUGUAUAUAUGGAUAUAUAUAAUUAUUUAUAUCAAUAUAAGUCCAAAACUAGGCCACUUAUUGCUCUGGUCUGUGCAAACUUUACACAUACCUUUCACCUAAAAGAACUCUAGCUACAUCUCACAAGAUGACAACUCCAUCUAAGGACCCCAUCAUCAUGGAACCAGUCAGCUGCAUGCAUUAUCACAAUAGUCCCUUGAAAUCAAGCUCACUCCUUGGAGAGACCUGGCUUCCAGCUACUGGCAGAGAGGCCAAAGUCCUGACUGCUGAAUGCAUGCAAGACCAAAGACCAGUCCCUGCUAAAUGAAACUUGAAAGAGUAGUAUUAAAGUUAGCUCAAGCUACAGAGAACUGCACUUCAGUUCACCUAGAUCUGCAGACAGGAUUAUUUUAUCAUCAACAAGAGCACCUUUAGAAUUUAGGUGAUGACCAAAUGUCUGCAUGAACUAAUGUCCUUUCCAGCCCAUAUUUUGUUCUCUUUAACUAAUUUGCACUGGUAUCAACACACACAAGGAUCUUCUGUUCUAUGCAUAUUGACAUCCACAGUGCUUUAAGCCAUUUGUCUGGUGUCAAACACAUUAUUUCCCCAUGCUGAAGAAGUGAAAAACAAAAGAGUAAACAGGCUUGUGGAGAGAUAUCUUCCAGUCUGGAGACUGUCUACCUACAGAAAGGGCCAGAAGGAAGAUCCAGGAAACUGCAGACCAGUAAACCUUGUUUCACUCCCUAAGAGAACUAUGGAACAGGUCCUUAAAAAAGCUAUUUCCACGCAAACACAUUUCAAAAACCUGAAUGUGAAAAGCCAACAUGGACAAACUGAAGGGUCAAUCCUGUUUGACCAAAAAUCAUGCUCAGUGGAUGAAAGGAAAGUAGUAGAUAUCACCAUCAACUUGAUUUUCACAAAGUGUUUGACACAGCCUCCCUCAAAAUCCUUUUUGACAAGUCAGUAAGAUACUGUCUGGGCAGAUGAAACGCAAAAUGGCUGAGGAACUGACUAAACUGUUGAGUUCAGAGCCUCAAAAGUUAAAAGGCUCAAAGUCAUGCUGGCAGCUGGGCACAAAUUAAUUUCUUCUGAAGUCAAUGCAAUUCAGCUUUAUAAGUGGUCUGGAAGGUAGGCCUGAAUGCACUGUCACCAAAUUUGAGGAUGAGCCUAAGUUGGGUGAAGAGGUAGCAGUGUUAGAAGAAAAAAAUCACCAUAUAGAGACCUCAACGAGCUGUUGAGAUUUGGCCAACAAGAAUGAAGUUUAAUAUGAGGUUCAGCAGAGAUAAAUGUCAAGUCCUGAACCUGGGAUGGAAUAAUCCCAAGCAGGAGCACCAGCUGGGCACUGGCUGGCUGGACAGUUGCUCUGCUGAAAAGGCACAGGGUGUCUUGGCAGGCAGCAAGAGGAACAUGAGCCAGCCAAGUAUCCUGGCAGCAAUGAUCGCCAACAGCAUCCUGGACUGAGUUUGUGAGAGUGUUGGUAAAUGAAGAGAUGUGAUCUUUCUACUCAGCUCAGCACCUGUUAGGCCAUACCUGGAACACACUGUUCAGUUUCUUUCUUCACAGUUCAAGAGACAUUGAAAGCCUGGAGAUGGUCCAGAGGGGACCAAAAAGAUUAGGGGACUGGAGAACUUUACAAAAAAAUGAACUUCGCUUGCUCAGACUUCAGCAGGGAAGGUUUAGUGUGGGGAAACCAAAUAAUUGCCUUCCAAUACCUAAAAAGCAAUUCUGGAGGAGACUCAUCUCUUCACAAGGAUGCACUAUGAUAGGAGAAAAAGCAAUGGGCAAAACUGGUUUCUAGGGAAGUUCUAGGGAAGCUCCACGUGAGUAUCAAAAAACUUUUUUCUGUGAGAGCAACAUGAGGAUCAGUUGCUUGAAGAGAGUGGAAUCUUUCUCACUAGAAAUAAUAAAGAUGUAAAUUGAUUUGGCCUCAACUAACCUAAUCUAAGACCCUGUUUUUAAUGAAAAGUUGGAUCAGAUGGUGGCAGGAGGUCCCUUCUAACUUAGUCUUGUCUCUGUUUCUGUGAUUCCUUCCCAUAUCUUCUCAACAGAUACUUUGCUAUUCAUUUAUGUCAGGGGAAAAAAGUGUUCUGAGCUUUUCAAUUUGGAAAAGAGAACAGUUAGGAUCCAACAGUAAUUUCUUUGCAUGGAUGACCAACAUACAAAGAUCUUUAAGAUCUCUAACUAAUUCAAACAGCAGCUCCAGCUCUCACACACCCAGACUUUUAAUGCCCUGGGUUGCACCCUAACCUCGACACCUGGCAGACACUCUCUCUGCCAGGUGUCUGCCCAGUCUAACCUUGCCCAGAGGGGCUGUGAGUCUCAUGCUUCUUGCUGGCCAUGCCUCCCCAACCACGGUUUUGUUUUAUGCUCCACAUCAUGCCAGCCUGAAGCAUGAGCCCUGCCCUCCACCUCAUGGGCAUGGUCAGGCAUGCAUGGCCCAGCCUCUUAUUGGGAGCAGCAACCUCUCACAAAAGAGGGAAAUAAGAAACUGCUACCAGUAAAGGCAAAACUGGCUGCAACCAAAGAUCUCACCUAACAGAAACACCUGUCAUGCCUUGAGCCAUGAGCCCGAGAGAUGAACAGAACCUCACAGAUACCCUACUCCAGGGUCAGCAGCCAAAGGGUUAACUGUGGUAGCAAUAACAAGGCAAAUGAUUGAGCUGUCUAACUUUUUGGCCAGCCACCUUUGAACUCACCAUCCCACCCACUGCCUCCCUGCUAGGAUCCAUACCAAGAUGAAUGUGAUAAGGAGGAUGGGUUUAUCAGACACGCCAGCAUUUCAUUGUCUUGCAUGUGGCAGACAAGCAAGGCAGCAAGUAGGCUGGCAGUGAGCUGGAGCCAUGCCAGGGGCAUGUGGGCGGGGAAGUGUUGGGGCCACCAAGUGCUGUCACACACCCCUGGGAUGGCUUCCACCAGUGUGAAACUGUCUCCAUCACGGAAGCCACACCUGAAAUACCUUUCCAAAAUUGUUUCUGAUAAGCAGCAAUUCCUACCCCGAGGAGCUGGAGGCAUGUCUAACCCCAAACUCCUCCCCUUCAUGGCCCCAGUCACUAGCUUCCUGUAAAUGAGGGCGAUACAGGCACCUCCAUUGCUAUUAAGUACAAUGAGGUGUCUGAGACAAUGGGAACCCACUCGGUGCAGCAGUACUUUGAGGUACUUGGGAUGAUGCCCAGCUGUGUUUUACUUGGCCCAUCCACAGGCUUCCAGGAGACCCUGCAUCACUGCUCCCUGUCCCAGCAACAUGCCAGGGCAGCCACACAAGCUGAGGAGGAAAACAGGAACAUUAGCAGCAGGGCAGGCAGCAGCCAAGCAGCCACCAUGGAGCCACCUGGAAACUGGAAAACAGGCAGAGUAGGCACCUAUUUUAAUGAAAAUUAUCUGCAAUUAGAUAUUAACUGAUUCAGACCAUGCACAGGAAGACAACAUAGGCUUGAAAAACAGGUAUGAAGCACAACUUCACAAAGGCAGGAAACUGAUGUAUACUCAUACCAAUUUCCUACAUAAAAAUAUCCAGGAAUUCACUGUCUGUCCAUCCUCCCUCUGCUGAAUACAUUGACUGGAAGGAACCAAACAUGUCAGAGAACUGACAUGCAUGGUAAGCUAGGAUGGUAAGCUUUCAAUGCAUUUUGUGAAAACAGCUGAGCAGAGGAGAAAUCUCAAAGCUGACAGCCCAGCCUGGGGUGAGUUCAUGUGCUAUUGGAGAUCAGAGGCUCUGUAUGGGGACCAGCUGUGGUCCCACAUCUACGAGUACAGGGAAGGCACAGAUAAUCUCUGUGCCUUGUGAAAUGGUGGUGGGAAGGUGUCUGGCCAGGUGUCUUUGCAGGCGAUUGACUCAAGUGGAAGAUGGGACAUGGGCCUCCCAUGUCAAAGAAGUUGUCAGUGCUGGCCUCUGCAAGCUCUUGUGCUUGGAAAAAACAUGGAAAACAUAGAUACACCCAAAUAAACUGAAGUUUGGUUAAAAAAGUGUUAAAAUUUCCUCCUUACACUGACCUACAUUCCCAGUGGGCACCAGUUUUCAUCCACUGGUUUCUCAGCUCCUGAACACUUCCAGUAUCUCAAAGGUUUUCCCAUGUUUUGUAAAAUCAGGAGUCUGCAGCACAAACAUGAGCAAAGAGAAAUGUGGGAUGGCCAGAAUGCUCAGUGUUCAGGCAGGGCUCAGGCAAGGCUGGCAGAGGUGGCCAGCACAGAGCUGGCCAGGAGCAGCAGGGAUGUCCUUGGGUAACCUGAGUAGGGGGCAGCCCCAGCUCCUGCCUCCUCCCUUCCCUGAACAAAAGCAGCUGUAGCUGCUGAACCACCUGGGUUUGCAGUAGAAGAAUUCUGAGGUAAGUUGCUAUGGAUCUGAGGCUCUCCUAAAACAGAGAGCAGAGAAUGAUUUGAGAAUGGCUUAAUGCCCUUGGGUGUGGACACCCACAAUUCAGCUCUAUGGUACAUCCAGACAUUUUAGAGUCUUCACUUCAAAUUUUCCAGAGCUCUUUUGAGUGACCAUUCAUCACCUGCUAACAGGUUAUGCUUGAUCUUUAUUGAAAUCUCAUCCUGAUAUACACAAAUCACACAAAAAAGGACACCACCCCAGGAGGACCCAGUGUGGAUCGACAGGUGUGACAGCAAGCAUGACAAACAAUGCAGUCCUGGCUGUAAAGAAAAUGUAGUGGGCAAUGCAGCCAUGUUCAUGUCCCCUAGCUGGUUCAAGGUUCAACCACAGAACCCAAAGCAUGAAGGAGUCACAAAAUAAUGAAGACAAAUUGUGUGCUGGUAUGGGAAUAGCAAGAAAUGUUGGGGAAUCUACCUCUUACUCAAGCAAAUCUUCCUGUGUCUUGUCAUAGGAAAUUAUUUAAAAUAUUUCACCUAUGAUAAAAGGGAGGUAUUCUAAUUGAAGGUUAAAAAUGGGAAUUCCUAUGGCUGAAAGAAGGAACAUCCAUCACAAGGAGAUGCCACCUGCAUACUGAGAGAAAUAACUGUUUCACUAGAGCUGAGUCUACUCAGAAAGUGCUGUAUUCUAAAGCUUUUCUUGGACUUGGGAUGUUGUCUUCUUAACUUAGCAGACCCUGAGGUCCUUAUCAGUGCUGGAAGUUCAGAUGACUUGGCAAUCUUCCUGAACAUUUUCUUUAAAAUGAAUAAACCUGACAAGCACAAUAUGAGUAACAAACUGACUUCCAGGAAUAAGAGAAUGGUUCAAAGAAUGCAAGCCUGGAGCCCGACGGAAAAAGAGCAUAUCUUACAGCAGAGCCUUCCCAUCCCCACCCGCAUUUUUUCAGUCAAUUUUUGUACCCCCUGCACUUUUGUUACCAGGCAGUUGGGAUGUCUCCGUGCAGCAAGACUCAUUCCAACUGGCAGCUCUGGAUCAAAGAGCACUGGAAGCAUUAAUCAGUGUGCCUAAUCAUUUCCAAUCACAAGAAACUUUUCUCUGUGACCUGGCAUAUAAACACCAAGUCAUUUCACUCACUGGUUGACGCACCAGAAACCAAACAAUGCUUAUCAUGCCUAAUUCAUCUUACUCCUACGGGUUAGAGAUGGAUCAGCCUGCAAUCGUCCAGCAGCAGUGGCAAACUUUAGGUGCUUUACUUAAUCAAACUGAUUACAACCUGUCUGUAGUGCCUUUUAUCUGUUGGUGGCAAAGUAGUUUAGCAGCAUUAAGUGCACCUAAUUUUGCGAUAGCAAAGCAAGACAUGGUGACUAUAUUUAAAAGCACCUCCAGUGAUGUGGGGGAGCUCUUGUUUUAAGGGGGUGGGGAGGUUCAAGGCAGCAAGUUUUGCUGAUGCAUGAAAACCGCUUUGAAAAUUAAAGGAGCGAAUGGCGGAGUCAGGGAGGGAGCCCAGGAAUUCUGAUUGCCAGAUAUCUGUGCUGCCCACAGUACCAUAUGGUUUGUUGCAAAAGGAAGAGAAUAAUCAAACCGGACAUCUGUGCCUAGAGCCUUAUCUAUUUGGGCACCAUCCUCUGGACAGCCACACUCUGAGCACAAACAAAGAGUAAUGAGAUCUCCUCUACCCUUGGCGGAUCCGCAGGGGGACGCGGUGCCUCCUGCACUGGUUCAGGUUAAUAUGUGUGUGAUCACCACCUGUUUGGGAGUUUGCUCCCAUGGUAACACUGAUUUCUUACUUAAUGCCAAGAGCAAAACAACAGCCCUGUCACUGUUGCAAGGAAAGCUGACAAAAAACUGAGGCUGCUUUAGCUUUCCUCAGCUUUUACUCGGGUGCCCCUGACUUGGGGGAAAAAAAAGCAGAAAUAAUUAUGCCGAAGGUCAACCUGUUCCAGGGCAGUUUGUUCCUGCUUUGAAGGAGAGAGAUGUGAGGGGUGGCAGAGAAACCCGCUGCUACACCUGACAGGCUCUCAUGGAUAAGAGCUGGUGAGGGAGCCCUGCAGAAGCCCUUUGCAAACUUGCACGACCUGCCUUGAAC